rnacentral:lncRNA from 1 species
UACAAAUAUUGUUAACUAGUUCAUAACAUCUUUACUUCAAUUCAUUCAAACUCUAUACAUGCCAUAUAAAUCUUUAAAUAUAAAACAAAAACUACCAGAAUUGAUCUGAAUAGUGUGCCCUGUUGUGUUGAUCCGAUCUACCCACUUCACUUCAAGUCAAUCUACAUAAAAAUAUUAAACACACACAAGUAAGCUUAUUGAAGCUUAGUAAGCUCAUAGGCAUAUAAACACAAAUCAUAUCAAAUAUCGUACACAAUCAUAUAUCUAUUAGUUUAACUAUUUCAUCCUCCAAAUCACAAUUUCAUUAAUAACUCAUUGGAAUAAUUUCCAUAUGGCUACUCACAAUUUAACUCCCUUAGGCCCAUUUCUCAUUUACUUCAUUGUCAAAUUAGGGAACAAUAAGGGAAUUGAGUGCUUCAUUAUUACAUUGCCAUAGUAAACUAUGGACGUUCACAUUGUUACGCAUCACACACCGAAGCCAUAGCCUUGCCAUGGUCUUACACGGUUCACAUAUCAUACCGAAGCCAUAUCCCAGACAUGGUCUCAUACGGAAUCACAUUAUCACAUUAUACCGAUGCCAUAGCCCAGCUAUGGUCUUAUACGGAGUCAUAUUAUCACAUUGCACCGAUGCCAUAGCCCAGCUAUGGUCUUAAACAGGCACACUUAUCACAUAUUUUUCGUCAAUUCAUCAGGGUCACAGAAUAGAAGCACUCAAAUCCAUUGUUCCUACUAAUUUGUACUUUUAGUUACACAUUAUUCAUUAGUUAAUACAAAUUGAUAGUAUUCAUCAACAAUAAAAUACUUUAACAAUCAUAAGAUUUUCAUAUCAAAACAUUGAACUUUGCCAUAUGAACUUACCUGGACUAAUUUGCAAAAGUCGUAGAAAUUCAAGGACUAUUCUUGAAUUUUCUCCUUUCCACGAUUCAGUUCGUUUUCUUGAUCUAUAAUUAUAAAAUCAUUCCUUCAUUAGCAUCCAUUUCAAUUCUAUUUCACUUCACAAUUUAUGCUGUUCAAAUUUCGAAAUUACACUUUUACCCCAAAAUUUACAGUUUUCACAAUUUAGUCCCUGCUCAAUUCACCCAUCAAUUGAACUAAUUUUUCUCAAUUAACACUUUAUUUUAUCAUUAUAAACUAUUUCAAAACAUUUUAUAUUCUUAAUUUCAACAGAAACCUUCAAUUCACAACUUUUUCACAAUUAGGUCCUAAAUAUCAUUUCCUAUCAAAAUCACUUAAUAAAACCACCUUAAUAUGAAAUUAGAACUUAAAUUUCGUAAUAAUUCAUCAUAAAAUUUCCCUAUCCAUCCAGGGUAACUUCCAAUUUCACCCAUAAAAUCAAAAACUAAUGAAUUCUACAAGUGGACCAAAUUGUAAAAGUCAUAAAAACAUAAAAAUUAUCAAGAAAAGUAAGAAUUAAACUCGCAUGAUGUAAAAAUAUGAAAAACCAGCUUUCUCCAGACCUUCUAUGGCGUUUUGGCUGAGAAAAUAUGAAGAAAUGUCUAGAUUUUUCAAUUACAUCAUUAUUUAACUAUUAACUUUUAUGCUAUUUCCAAUUUUGCCCCUUGUUCACAUUGUUUUCGUGCUUAUUUCAUACUCAAACCGUCCAGCCAUUAAACUUUGGGUAUAAUUGCUCCUUAAAUCCAUCUUUUUAAAUACUUAAGCUAUUUACUCACAAUUUAACAAAUUUUGCGCUAUUUUCAAUUUAGUCCUUUUUAAUUAAUUAGCCAUCCAAACGUUAAAAUUUUCUAACGAAACUUUAAUACUAACUCAAUGACACUCCAUAAAUAUUUAUAAAAAUAUUUAUAGCUCGAUUUUCAACUUUGAGGUCUCGAUACCUCAUUUUUGACCCGUUUGACCUAAUAAAUUCUUUUAAUUCACUAAUUUCACCAUUUCACAAAUUCUUCUAAAUUCUUACCUGACUCAUAAAUAUUAAAUUACUAUCUUGUUCAAUCUUAUUUGUCGAAUUUAGUGAUCUCAAAUCACCAUUUCCGACACCACUGAAAAUUAGGCCGUUACAACUCUCCCCCCUUUACAAAUUUCGUCCUCGAAAUUUGUUACCUGAAAACAGAUUUUGGAUACUGUGAUCUCAUUGACUCCUCUGUUUCCCAGGUUGCCUCCUCCAAUCCAUGUCGAUGCCAUAACACUUUUACUAACGGUACUCGUUUAUUCCGUAGUUCUUUAACUUCCCGAACUAGUAUUUUCACUGGUUCUUCUGAAUAAGUCAUAUCUGAUUGUAGCUCUAUCUCAGUAUGAGGAAUCACAUGUGAAGGGUCUGAUCUAUAUCGUCUCAACAUAGAUACAUGGAAUACAUUAUGGAUCUUCUCAAGUUCUGGAGGCAAGGCCAAUCUAUAAGCUACCGGACCGAUCCUCUCAAUGAUUUCGUAUGGUCCGAUAAAUCGUGGACUAAGCUUUCCUUUUCUACCAAACCGUAAAACUUUCUUCCACGGAGAAACUUUCAAGAACACACGAUCACCCACAUUGAACUCUAUAUUUCUUCUUUUCAAAUCUGCAUACGACUUUUGACGAUCGGAAGCAGCUUUCAAACUUUCCGGAAUAAUCUGAACUUUCUCUUCAGUUUCCCGAAUUAAAUCCACUCCGACUAAUUUCGAUUCACUUAAUUCUGACCAAUACAACGGGGUUCUGCACUUCCUUCCAUACAGAGCUUCAAACGGUGCCAUUUUGAUACUAGCUUGAUAACUGUUAUUAUAAGCAAAUUCAGCUAAAGGUAAGUACCUUUCCCAGCUGCCACUGAACUCGAGUAUACAGCACCUUAACAUAUCUUCCAAAAUCUGAAUCACUCGCUCUGAUUGUCCAUCUGUCUAAGGGUGAAAAGCUGUACUAAAUUUUAACUUAGUACCUAAAGCUUCCUGUUGUUUAUUCCAAAAUCUUGAAGUAAACCUCGGAUCUCGAUCAGAAAUAAUUGAUGUUGGCACCCCAUGUAAUCUUACAAUUUCUGACACAUAUAAUCCCGCUAACUUAUCAAGUGAAAAAUCUGUUCUGACUGGAAUAAAAUGCGCCGAUUUAGUGAAUCUAUCUACUUUCACCCAAAUCAAAUCUUUUUUCUUCGGAGUCACUGGCAAUCCCGAUACAAAAUCCAUCGUCACAUGUUCCCACUUCCAUUCUGGAAUCACUACGGGUUGUAACAAACCUGUAGGCACUUGAUGUUCAGCUUUUACCUGUUGACAGAUUAAACAUUUUGCCACAAAUUCACAAAUUUCCCGUUUCAUACCAGGCCACCAAUACAUUUUUUUUCAAAUCACAAUACAUCUUCGUACUACCCGGAUGAAUCGAGUACAUACUACUAUGAGCCUCUGAUAAGAUAUCCUUCUUCAAUUCUAGAUUAUUCGGGACACAAAUUCUAUUACGAUGGUAUAACAUACCACUAUUAUCAAUAGAGUAAUCUAAGUUCAAAUUAUCUCGAACCAUUUGUCGUUUCAACACCAACUUCGGAUCUUCAUCUUGCAAUUCCCGAAUUCGUUGAAAGAAUACUGGUUUUGUCUUUAAUUCAGCUAAUAUUGAACCAUUUUCAUUAACAGACAAAUGAGCAUUUAACACCCGAAGAGCAAAUAAUGAUGAUUUUCGACUAAGUGCAUCUGCCACUACAUUUGCCUUACCCGGAUGAUAAUCAAUGAUAAGAUCGUAAUCUUUCAACAGCUCUAACCAUCGCCUCUGUCUCAAAUUCAGCUCUUUCUGCGACAUUAAAUAUUUCAAACUUUUAUGGUCUGUAUACACAUAACAUUUCUCUCCAUAUAGGUACUGUCUCCAAAUUUUUAAAGCAAAUACUAUGGCAGCUAAUUCAAGAUCAUGUGUAGGGUAGUUCCUCUCAUGUGGUUUCAACUGUCGAGAAGCAUAUGCUACAACUUUUCCUGACUGCAUCAAUACACAACCUAAACCAUUCAGAGACGCAUCACUAUAUACUACAUAUGGCACACCUGAUUCAGGCUGAGUUAACACCGGAGCCUCUAUCAACAUUUUCUUUAAUUGAUCAAAACUUUGUUGGUACUCAUCAGACCAUACAAACUCAACAUUCUUCUGUAAUAAUUUAGUUAUCGGUGAAGCAAUCAGUGAAAAAUCUUUCACAAAUCGACGAUAGUAACCAGCUAAUCCAAGGAAACUUCGCACUUCCGUAACAUUCUUUGGAGUUUUCCAAUUAAUCACCGCUGACACCUUACUCGGAUCUACCCGUAUACCAUCAACUGACACAAUGUGACCCAAGAAUCCCACUUCAUGAAGCCAAAAUUCACAUUUACUAAAUUUUGCAUAUAACUGUUUUUCCCUUAAUAUCUGUAGUACAAUUCUCAAGUGCUGAGCAUGCUCAGAUUCUGUCUUUGAAUAGAUCAGUAUAUCGUCAAUAAACACAACCACAAAUCUAUCCAGGUAAGACUGGAAAAUUCGAUUCAUUAAAUCCAUAAAAGCAGCAGGAGCAUUUGUCAAACCGAAUGGCAUAACUAAGAACUCAUAAUGACCAUACCGAGUUCUAAAAGCUAUUUUCGGUACAUCACAUUCCUUUACCUUUAACUGAUAAUACCCAGAUCUGAGAUCUAUUUUUGAAAACACUGUAGCAUCCUUAAGCUGAUCGAAUAAAUCAUCAAUACGAGGCAAAGGAUAUUUAUUUUUAAUUGUUACCUUAUUCAGCUGCCAGUAAUCUAUGCACAGCCUCAAUGAACCAUCCUUCUUUUUCACAAAUAAGACAGGUGCACCCCAUGGUGACAUACUCGGUCUGAUAAACCCUUUGUCUAACAGUUCUUGCAACUGCGCUUUUGACUCUCUUAAUUCUGCUGGAGCCAUUCUAUACGGUGUCACUGAUAUGGGAGCUGUUCCUGGAAGCACAUCUAUCACGAACUCAACUUCUCUAUCGGGCGGUAAACCUGGUAAUUCUUCAGGAAAUACAUCCAUGAAUUCAUUUACAACAGAUAGUUGCUCUAACUUUGAUUUAGAACUUCGAGUAUCAAGAAUAUAGGCUAAAUAAGCCUCAUUUCCUUUAUGCAACAAUUUCUGAGCAGACAUAAAGGAAAUCAUUCUAACCAUGUCAUCCAAAUUCCCAGACUCAACCAAAACAAUAUCUCCUGUUUGACAUUUCAAGCUAAUUCGUUUUUCUCGACAAUUCACUACCGCGUCAUGUUUCAUUAACCAGUCCAUGCCCAAGAUAAUAUCAAAUUCACGAAAGGGUAGCAGCAUCAAAUCAGCGGGGAAAUCACAGCCCUUAACUUUCAGUGGACAGUUAUGACAUAUUAAAUUAACUACCACACUUUAACCUAACGGAUUUGUAACUUGUACAUCAUAAUCAGUAGGCUCAACAAAUAAAUUCUUUUCAGAUGCUAAUAUAGUGCAAAUAUAUGAAUGAGUAGACCCAGGGUCUAUUAAAGCAUACACAGGAACAUCAUUAAGAUAGAAAGUACCAGCAAUUACAUCUGGAGCUGUUGCUUCUUCUCUCGCUCGAAUGGCAUAAGUACAAGCAGGAGCCCUAACUUCUGAUCGGCUAGCAGUAUCUUUCAUACCCGAACGAGUAGCCCCUGUAGCACUGCUCUGACCAGAGCGUCUUCCUUUUUGAGGAAGAAUUUUCUGUUUCUCCCUCUGUUCCACUUCUUCUACUUGUAAUUGGGGACAAUCACGAAUAAAGUGAUCAGUGGCCCCACAUUUAUAACAAGCCCCUAACUUACUUCUACAUUCACCGGGGUGACUUCUUCCACAAUGUUGACACUUAGGCCUUUGGGUAUUUUGUACACUACCCACACUAACAGCAGGUCUGUCAGAUGCUUUGUAAUCAGAUUGUCUUGGCCUACUUUUUCCUGAUCUUUCCGGUACUGAAAUGGCUCGACUGAAUUCCUCUUUAGAUUUCUUCACUGGUAAAGCCGAAAAUGACUUAGAUGCACUUCUUUUGAAAGAUUCUUUACUUAUUCUAUCUCGUUGCAUCUUUUUAUUAUAUACUUCUUCAAGCUUCUGAGCACGAUUUGAUAAAACAACAAAUUCUCGUAACUCAAUGCCCCCUAUCAUCAUUUUAAUCUCAUCAUUAAGCCAUUCUUAAAAUCUGAUACACAUUUCUUCUUUUGUGGGUACUAUAUCUCGAGCAUAUUUGCUCAGAUAAACUGUAACGCCCCUUACCCGAGACCAAUGCCGGAGUCGAGCACAAGGCACUACUAAACUUAUUUGAGCACUUAACCAAAUUUAGAUAAUUUAUAUCAUACUUUUCAGACAAGCUGUCCAACUGCGUCAUAGUUGCUAAAUAAUUCAUAUCUCGAGUUAUAAAACUCAAAACCAAAAUCCGUAAAUUUUCCCCGAAUUUAUACUCAUAUAUCUACUUACCAAUUUUUUUUAUAAUUUUUGGCUGGUCCAAUUAGUACAGUUUAUUAGUUAAAUCCUCCCCUAUUUCAGGGUUUGGCUACUUUGACCCCUGUGCACUACGAACCAAAUUUCUCUCUGUACAAAAUACAAAUAACCAUGCCGUUUAUUUCUCUUAAAAAUAGUCCCAAUGAGGAAUACAUACAUAUACAGUAUGACUCAUAAUUAUUUUUGUGUAAUUUUUAAUGAUUUUUUAAGAUCAGAAUAGGGGAACUCGAAGUCAUUCAGACUCUGUCUCACCACAAUUUAAAUAUCUCAUAACAUAAAAUCCAAUUGCAUGCACCGUUUCCUCUAUAUGAAACUAGACUCAUUAGGCUUUAAUUUCAUUUUUUCCAGCCCUUAACUCAAUUUCCACAAUUUAUGGUGAAUUUUCAAAGUCAAACUACUGCUACUUACCAAAAACUGUUUUAGUACAAAUAUUGUUAACUAGUUCAUAACAUCUUUACUUCAAUUCAUUCAAACUCUAUACAUGCCAUAUAAAUCUUUAAACAUAAAACAAAAACUACCAGAAUUGAUCUGAAUAGUGUGCCCUGUUGUGUUGAUCCGAUCUACCGACUUCACUUCAAGUCAAUCUACAUAAAAAUAUUAAACACACACAAGUAAUCUUAUUGAAGCUUAGUAAGCUCAUAGGCAUAUAAACACAAAUCAUAUCAAAUAUCGUACACAAUCUUAUAUCUAUUAGUUUAACUAUUUCAUCCUUCAAAUCACAAUUUCAUUAAUAACUCAUUGGAAUAAUUUCCAUAUGGCUACUCACAAUUUAACUCCCUUAGGCCCAUUUCUCAUUUACUUCAUUCUCAAUUUAAGGAACAAUAAGGGAAUUGAGUGCUUCAUUAUCACAUUGCCAUAGUAAACUAUGGACUUUCACAUUGUUACGCAUCACACACCGAAGCCAUAGCCUUGCCAUGGUCUUACACGGUUCACAUAUCAUACCGAAGCCAUAUCCCAGACAUGGUCUUAUACGGAAUCACAUUAUCACAUUAUACCGAUGCCAUAACCCAGCUAUGGUCUUAUACGGAGUCACAUUAUCACAUUGCACCGAUGCCAUAGCCCAGCUACGGUCUUAAACGGGCACACUUAUCACAUAUUUUUCGUUAAUUCAUCAGGGUCACAGAAUAGAAGCACUCAAAUCCAUUGUUCCAACUAAUUUGUACUUUUAGUUACACAUUAUUCAUUAGUUAAUGCAAAUUGAUAGUAUUCAUCAACAAUAAAAUACUUUAACAAUCAUAAUAUUUUCAAAUCAAAACAUUGAACUUUGCCAUAUGAACUUACCUGGACUAAUUUGCAAAAGUCGUAGAAAUUCAGGGACUAUUCUUGAAUUUUCUCCUUUCCACGAUUCAGUUCGUUUUCUUGAUAUGAUGUAAAAAUAUGAAAAACCAGCUUUCUCCAGAC